GCAGCAUUUUCAGAGCUUCUGCACUGUUUUAUAAACGAACGAUUACCUUGCUUGGGAUUCAAGGAGGCAUUGAUGUGAGAGACAUCAUGGAGAAUCAUGAGGCAAACUUUGACCAAUUCAUUGACCAAACAACUUAACUGGAGGGGAAUAAAUGGAAAAACAUGUUUUCAUAGCCUUCACAUUAAGGAUAUUGUGAUUGAUGCAGUACAAAGAAACUCUGUAACAUAAAGAGCCACAACUCAGGAAAUAGAAAUUUGGAUUAAGAGAUGGCUUCAUCUGGCUGCAGAUAGGGAUGGAGGGAGACAAGAAAGAAUGGAGCGUCAGAGGAAAAACAACUAUCAAGAAUCAGGUGAAAUGCAUGUUCUUUCAAGUCAUCAUUAAGACCGGCCUUCUAAAUCUUUGCUGAGGACAAGUUGGACUCUUACAUCACCAAUUGUAAUGGAAGGAUUUUUCUAAAGAGAGGAAGGGAAUCAGGAGAGCAGAUGGGCGUUGAUUGCUCCAGUGCAA